rfam:Salmo salar isolate Sally breed double haploid chromosome ssa19, whole genome shotgun sequence.
UGGCUCAGUUGGUAGAGCAUGGUGUUUGCAACGCUAGGGUUGUGGGUCUGAUUCCCAC